UGUCGGUCUUCCCACACUGCACACUCCGUGAACCCCGUCAGGCCCGGAAGGGAGCAGCGGCAGCGGAGUGGACAGGUGCUGGGGUCGGGCUGACAGGG
rnacentral:SRP_RNA from 1 species